CAGCAGCCGCGGUAAUACAGAGGGUGCGAGCGUUAAUCGGAUUUACUGGGCGAAAAGCGUGCGUAGGCGGCUAAUUGAGUCGGAUGUGAAAUCCCCGAGCUUAACUUGGGAAUUGCAUUCGAUACUGGUUAGCUAGAGUGUGGGAGAGGAUGGUAGAAUUCCAGGUGUAGCGGUGAAAUGCGUAGAGAUCUGGAGGAAUACCGAUGGCGAAGGCAGCCAUCUGGCCUAACACUGACGCUGAGGUACGAAAGCAUGGGGAGCAAACAGGAUUAGAUACCCCCGUAGUCCCUGUCUCUUAUAC
rnacentral:rRNA from 1 species